AUGGUUAAAACUGACCGGUGUCCCCGGCGAGGAGGGGACAGUGUGACUGAGACUGCUUGGGGUCCCUGGAGAGGAGGGAACUACACUGGCCGAGGUCUGGGGAGAGGAGGGGACAGCACAGCCAACACUGCCCAGUGGCCUGUGACAGGAGAUGACAACUCAACAAAACUGCCCAUUUUCCCCAAAGUGGAGGGGAGAGCAAAGACCACCACCCCAUGUCCUGUAACUGGACGUGUCAGCAUGGAUGACACUGCCCAGUGUCCCCGAAAUGGAGGGGACUGCAUGGCCGACACUGUUCGAUGUCCUGGGAGAGGAGGGGACAGCACAGCUGACAUUGACCGAUGUCCUUGGAGAAGAGGGGACUGCACGGCCAAUACUGUCCAGUGUUUUAGGAGAGGAGGGGAUGCCGGUAUCCCCUGUGACAAGGGAACAGCACAGCCAACACUGUCUAUGUCCUGGGAGAAGAGGGGACAAGCGGUUGACACCACCCAGUGUCCUGUGACAGGAUGUAACAAUAUGGAUGACACUUCCCGGUGUCCCCAAAGUGGAGGGGACAGACCAGAUGACACUGCCCAGUGUCCCAGAAGGAGAGGACAGCAUGGCCAACACUGCUCAGGGUCUGGGGAGUGAGGGGACAGUGCAGCCGACACUGCCCCAUAUCCCAAUAGAGGAAGGAACAGCACGUCUGACACUCUCCGGUGUCCAGGGAGAGGAGGGGAAAGAGCAGCUGACACUGUCCAGUGUCCCAUGACAGGAAGGGACAGUGAGACCGACACUCACCAGUGUCCCCAGAGAGGAGGGUACAGGGAGGCCCACACUGACUGGUGUCCCCAAGAGGAAGGAACACCAUGGCUGAGACUGCCCAGGCUCUCUGGAGAGGAGGAGAUAAUGCGGCCAACGCUGUCCAGUGUCCCUGUGAGAGGGGGACAGCACGGGUGACACUACCCAUGUGACAGGAGGUGAAAGCAUUGACAACACUGUCCAGCAUCCCCAAAGUGGAGGGGACAGUGCAGACAACACUGCCCAGUGUCCCUUGACAGGAGGUGAUGGCACGGCCAACAGUGUCUGGUGUCCCAGGAGAGGAGGGGACAGUGCAGCUGACACUGGCCAGUGUCCUCAGUGAGGAGGGGACAGCAUGUCCAACACAGUCCUGUGUCCUGAAGGAAGGGACAGCGCAGCAGAAACUGACUGGUGUCCCCAGAGAGGAGGGGACAGGGCAGCACAACUGCCCAGGAUCCCGUGAGAGGAGGAGAUAGCUCAGCCCAAACUACCCAGUAUGGAGAAAGAGGAGGGGACAGUGCAGCUGACACACCCAUUAUCCCAGGACAGGAGGUGACAGCAUGGACAACACUGCCCAGUAUCCCGGGAGAGGGGGGGAGAGGGCAGCCUACACUGCCCGGGGUCCCAGGAGAGGAGGGGACAGGACUGCCAACAUUGCCCGGGAUCCGGGAUGAGGAGGCGACAGCACGGAUGACACUAUCCAGUGCCCUGUGACAGGAGGUGUCAGCAUGGACAACACUGUCCAGUGUCCCCAAAGUGGAGGGGACAGCGUGCCUGACACUGUCCAGUGUGUGGGAGCAGAGGGGACAUCGCAGCUGACACUGUCUUGUGUUCCAGGAGAGGAAAGGACAGCGUGUCCAACACUGUCCACACUGCCAGGAGAGGAGGGGACAGUGUGGCUGACACUGACCAGUGUCCCUGGAGAGGAGGGGAUAGUUCCACCGACACUAUCUGGUUCCCCAGAGAGGAGGAGACAAUGCAGUCAACACUGACCAGUGUCCCCAGAGAGGAGGGGACAGUGCCACUGAGAAUGCCUGGGGUCCUGGGAAAGGAGGAAACAGCAUGGCUGACAUUGUCUGGUGUCCCAGAAGAGGAGGGGACAGGGCAGCCAAUACUUCCUGGUGUCCCGAGAAAGAAGGGGACAGCACAGCCAACAAUGCUCCAUGGGAGGAGGGGACAGCGCAACACUGUCCAGUGUCCCAGGAGAGGAAGGAACAGCACGGCCGACACUGACCAGUGUACCUGGAGAGGAGGGGCAGUGCAGCCGACACUGACCAGUGUCCCAGGAGAAGAGGCGACAGCAUGACUGACACUACCCAGUACCAUGUGACAGGAGGUGACAGCAUGGAGGACACUGGCAGGUGUCCUCAAAGAGAAGGGGAGAGCCAUACGACUCUGCCCAGUGUUCCGUGACAGGAAGUGACAGCGCGGAUAACACUGCCUGGUGUCCCUGAAGUAGACAGGACAGUGCGGCCGACACUAUCAGGUGUCCCAGGAGAGGAGGGGACAUCAUAGCUGCUACUGACAGCUGUUAUCAGUGAGGAUUGGACAACGCAGCUGACACUGGCCAGUCCUGGGAGAGGAAGGGACAGUGCAUCAGAUACUGACUGGUGUCCCCGGGAGUAGGGGACAGCACAGCCAACAGUGCACAGGGACCCGUGAGAGGAAUGGACAGCACUGCCGACAGUGCCCGACAUCCCAGAGGGGGAGGGGACAGUGCUGCUGACUCUACCCAGUGUCCAGUCACAGUAGGUGAGAGCACUGAGAGCACAGACAACAACGCUAGGUGUCUACAAAGUGGAGGUGCAGCACAGCUGACACUGUCCGGUGUCCUGGGAGAGGAGGGGACAGUGCAGCUUGCACUGACUGGUGUCCAUGGAAAGGAGGGGACAUCAUGGCCAACACUGUCCAAGGUCCCCAAAGUGGAGGGAACUGCGUGGCUGACACUGUCCAGGGUCCCGGGAGAGAAGGGAACUGUGUGGUCGACACUGUCCAGUGUCCUGGGAGAGGAGGGGACAACGUGGCUGACACUGAAUGGUGUCCCUGGAGAGGAGGGGACAGAGAGGCCGACAUUGCCCCGGGUCCCAAGAGAGGAGGGGAAGCUCAACUGACAACCCAGUGUCCCAUGACAGGAAGUCACAGCGUGGACAACACUGGUAUCUCCAAAUUGGAGGGGACUGUGUGGAAGACAGUGCCCGGAGUCCUGUGACAGGAGGAGACAGUGCAGACGCCACUGCCUGGCGUCCCCAAAGUGGAUGGACAGAGUGGCCGACACUGUUCGGUGUACCAGGAAAGGAGGGGACAGAGUGGACGACAGUGUGCGGUGUCCUGGGAGAGGAGGGAAAGGCGAGGCAGACACUGAAUGGUGUUGCCAGAGAGGAGGGGAGAGCACAGGUGACACUACCCAGGGUCCCAGGAUAGGAGGAGACCGCAAGGCUGACACUGGCAGGGCCUGGAGAGGAGUGGACAUCACGCACGACACUUACUGGUGUCCCAGGGAGAGGAGGGCACAGUGCAACCAACACUGUCUGUUGUUACGGUAGAAGAGGCGACAGCACGAAUGACACUGACUGUUGUCCCCAAAGACAAGGAGACAACGAAACCGACAUGGCUGUUGUACCCAGAGAGGAGGUGACAGUGUGGACAGCACUGCCUGGGGACCGGGAGAGGAGGGGAGAGCACAGGUGACACUGACCAGUGUCCCUGGAGAGGAGGGACAGCAUGGCAACAUGGUCUUGUGUCCCAGGACAGUAGGGGACAAUGCAGCAUACACAGACCAGUAACUGGAGAAGAGAGCACAGCGCAGUUGACACUGCCUGGAGUCCUGGGAGAGGUGGGGACAGCAUGGGAGAAAUGGAGUGGGCACCUAGAGGGGAGGGGAAAGAGUGGCAGACACCUGCCUGGUGACCCUGAAGGGUGGCCAGUGUCCGGAGAGGAGGGGACGUCGUGGCUGAAACUGACCUUUGUCCCAUGUGAGGAGGGGACAGCAGGGCCAGCACUGCCCAGGGUCCCAGGAGGGGAGGGGAAAGCAUGGCCAACACUGCCCGGCAUCCUGGGAGAGGAGGGGAUAUCACGGCUGACAGUGUUGGGGACCUGGGAGAGGAUGGGACAGGAUGGCUGUAACUGCCGGGGGUCCCGGGAUAGGAGGGGAUGGUGCAGCCAAAAUUGACCUUUGUCCCGUUGAGGAGGGAACAGCAGGGCCGACACUGCCUGAGGUCCCAGGAGAGGAGGGGACAGCACAGCUGACACUGCCCGGCAUCCCGGGAGAGGAGAGGACAGCGCCUCUGACACUGCUUGGAUUCCUUGGGAGAGGAGGGGAUAUCACGGCUGACACUGCCUGGGGGCCCAGGAGAUGAGGGGACAGUGCAGCUUACACUACCCAGUGUCACAUGACAGGAGGUAACAGCACAGACACUGCUUGGUGUCCCCAAACAGGAGGAGAGAGCAUGUCUGACACUGCACGGGAUCCCGGGAGAGGCAGAGACCGCAUAGUUGACACUGACCAGGGUCCCGGUAGAGAACGGGACAGCGUGGCUGACCCUGCCU
rnacentral:lncRNA from 1 species